rnacentral:rRNA from 1 species
CGGGACGGGUGAGUAACGCGUGGGUAACCUGCCUCAUACAGGGGGAUAACAGUUGGAAACGACUGCUAAUACCGCAUAAGCGCACAGGAUCGCAUGAUCCGGUGUGAAAAACUCCGGUGGUAUGAGAUGGACCCGCGUCUGAUUAGCCAGUUGGCAGGGUAACGGCCUACCAAAGCGACGAUCAGUAGCCGACCUGAGAGGGUGACCGGCCACAUUGGGACUGAGACGCGGCCCAA